rnacentral:rRNA from 1 species
AGAGUUUGAUCAUGGCUCAGGACGAACGCUGGCGGCGUGCUUAACACAUGCAAGUCGAACGGGCCUGCCUGGCUUUGGUUGGGUGGGUGAGUGGCGAACGGGUGAGUAACACGUGAGUAACCUGCCCUCUUCUCUUGGAUAACUGCUUGAAAGGGCGGCUAAUACGGGAUGUUCUGGCUGCCUCGCAUGGGGUGGUUUGGAAAGAUUCGGCCUGGUUUUGGUUGUUUUGGUGGGGGAUGGGCUCGCGGCUUAUCAGCUUGUUGGUGGGGUGAUGGCCUACCAAGGCGGUGACGGGUAGCCGGCCUGAGAGGGUGGACGGUCACACUGGGACUGAGAUACGGCCCAAGCUCCUACGGGAGGCAGCAGCUAAGAAUAUUCCGCAAUGGACGGAAGUCUGACGGAGCGACGCCGCGUGGAUGAAGAAGGCUGAAAAGUUGUAAAAUCCUUUUGUUGAUGAAGAAUAAGGGUGAGAGGGAAUGCUCAUCUGAUGACGGUAAUCGACGAAUAAGCCCCGGCUAAUUACGUGCCAGCAGCCGCGGUAACACGUAAGGGGCGAGCGUUGUUCGGAAUUAUUGGGCGUAAAGGGCAUGUAGGCGGCUAUGUAAGCCUGAUGUGAAAUCCUGGGGCUUAACCCUAGAAUAGCAUUGGGUACUGUAUAGCUUGAAUUACGGAAGGGAAACUGGAAUUCCAAGUGUAGGGGUGGAAUCUGUAGAUAUUUGGAAGAACACCGGUGGCGAAGGCGGGUUUCUGGCCGAUAAUUGACGCUGAGAUGCGAAAGUGUGGGGAUCGAACAGGAUUAGAUACCCUGGUAGUCCACACUGUAAACGAUGUACACUAGGUGUUGGGGCAAGAGCUUCAGUGCCAAAGCAAACGCGAUAAGUGUACCGCCUGGGGAGUAUGCCCGCAAGGGUGAAACUCAAAGGAAUUGACGGGGGCCCGCACAAGCGGUGGAGCAUGUGGUUUAAUUCGAUGGUACGCGAGGAACCUUACCUGGGUUUGACAUCUAGUAGAAGGUCUUAGAGAUAAGGCCGGGUAGCAAUACCCUGCUAGACAGGUGCUGCAUGGCUGUCGUCAGCUCGUGCCGUGAGGUGUUGGGUUAAGUCCCGCAACGAGCGCAACCCCUACUGCCAGUUACUAACAGGUAAAGCUUGAGGACUCUGGCGGAACUGCCGAUGACAAAUCGGAGGAAGGUGGGGAUGACGUCAAGUCAUCAUGGCCCUUAUGUCCAGGGCUACACACGUGCUACAAUGGUUGCUACAAAGCGAAGCGAGACCGUAAGGUGGAGCAAACCGCAAAAAAGCAAUCGUAGUUCGGAUUGAAGUCUGAAACUCGACUUCAUGAAGUUGGAAUCGCUAGUAAUCGCGCAUCAGCACGGCGCGGUGAAUACGUUCCCGGGCCUUGUACACACCGCCCGUCA